AGAAUCGGAAGUCAAGACGGUGACAUCGUGUGAAUUGGUGGUAGCAGUGGGAUUGGCUUGUGUGUUUAAAUGAAAUGCUCGAUUAGGACCUGGGCACCACUUUGGUUAAACGUCACCUUUACAAUCCGAAGUGUAAAGUGUGAAAGUUAAAGAGCUGACAGUCACACUGUGCGUGUGUGCAGAUUGGUGACAGAAAUGGGAUCGGCUCCCCUGGCCAUCUGGAGAAGUUUUAACGUAAGAUGGCUGAUUUUGUCAUUAUGUGUGAAAUCACCAAAGACUGCACACCACCUAAUCCUUACUGGACAGGAGUUUUACCCCUAAUGAGGUAGUGGGUGCAUAGGAAAUAAAAUUUAAAAAAGAGCUGACAGUUGAACUGUGCAAAUAAGUGGUGGUGGUGGAGUUGUGUCCUCUGGGUUUGGGGGUCUAAGAAAGUUUAAAAGUAAGACAGUGGAUUCUGACCUCUUGUGUGAUAUCAGCUACCACCCUGGCGGGACAGGACUUCCUUAUUGUGUGGUUGAUAAGGAGGUAGAUAGGAAGGUAAGAAAUACAAACACUACACUGAGCAUGUGUGCAAAUUGGUGGCAGAAGUGGGAUUGGUGCCUCUCACUGUCUAGAGAAGUGUUAGAAUGAGACAGCAGAUUCUGACUUCUUGUGUGAAAUCAGCCAAGAGUGGGCACAACCCUGGCUGGAGAGGACGUCCAUAUUAUAUGGUAGGUAAAGAGGUGAGAAAUAACACACACACACACUGUGCAUGAGUGUAAAUUGGUGGCAGCAAUGGGAUUGACUCCUCUCGCUGUCUAGAGAAAUGUUAAAGUGAGACAGCAGAUUCCGACUUCUUGUAUGAAAUCAGUCAAAGGUGGGCAUCGCCUUGGCUGGACAGGGCUUCCCUAUUGUGUGGUCGAUAGGAAGGUAAGAAAUAACACACACACACUGUGCAUGUGUGCAAAUUGGUGGCAGAAGUGGGAUUGGCACCUCUCGCUGUCUAGAGAAGUAUUAAAAUGAGACAGAAGAUUCUGACUUCUUGUGUGAAAUCAGGCAUCACCUUGGCUGGAAAGGAUCUUUACACCC